rnacentral:rRNA from 1 species
GUGCCAGCAGCCGCGGUAAUACGUAGGGCGCAAGCGUUGUCCGGUAAUUAUUGGGCGUAAAGAGCUCGUAGGCGGUUUGUCGCGUCUGCUGUGAAAGCCCGGGGCUUAACCCCGGGUGUGCAGUGGGUACGGGCAGACUUGAGUGCAGUAGGGGAGACUGGAAUUCCUGGUGUAGCGGUGAAAAUGCGCAGAUAUCAGGAGGAACACCGAUGGCGAAGGCAGGUCUCUGGGCUGUUACUGACGCUGAGGAGCGAAAGCAUGGGGAGCGAACAGGAUUAGAUACCCUGGUAGUCC